UAUACCAUGUGAAAACACUGACUCCCAUACGAUCACCAAAGUUGAGCAAUGUCGAGCCUGGUCAGUACCUAGAUGGGUGACCGGUUGUGAAUACCAGAUGCUGUAAG